GACGAACGCUGGCGGCGUGCUUAACACAUGCAAGUCGAACGGAAAGGCCCUGCUUUUGUGGGGUGCUCGAGCGGCGAACGGGUGAGUAACACGUGAGUAACCUGCCCUUGACUUUGGGAUAACUUCAGGAAACUGGGGCUAAUACCGGAUAGGAGCUCCUGCUACAUGGUGGGGGUUGGAAAGUUUCGGCGGUUGGGGAUGGACUCGCGGCUUAUCAGCUUGUUGGUGGGGUAGUGGCUUACCAAGGCUUUGACGGGUAGCCGGCCUGAGAGGGUGACCGGCCACAUUGGGACUGAGAUACGGCCCAGACUCCUACGGGAGGCAGCAGUGGGGAAUAUUGCACAAUGGGCGGAAGCCUGAUGCAGCAACGCCGCGUGCGGGAUGACGGCCUUCGGGUUGUAAACCGCUUUCGCCUGUGACGAAGCGUGAGUGACGGUAAUGGGUAAAGAAGCACCGGCUAACUACGUG
rnacentral:rRNA from 1 species